UAGGCUCCCAAAGGCACGUGU
rnacentral:siRNA from 1 species